rnacentral:ncRNA from 2 species
GCGACGUGCGCGGCAAAGGGUGCCCGUCCUCGCUUCAGGAGGCCGGGUUAAACGGGAAACAGGUGCGAAUACGUAACCCGAGGCUGGCAACCGCAUAUCUGUGAUGAUGGGUCGGUUCACGUCCUCACUGGUCACGGAUUACCGGUCACGUGUCAUGGCUUCCAGGCCUGUGCUGCCCCCGCAACGGUAAGCGAGCGUGGAUUCGUCAUUACGCCACUGAGCGCCGCGCGCUUGGGAAGGCGACGAGUCAGGUUCUCGCGAGCCCGUAUACCGGCCCGGCCGUGGGUGGAAAU